rnacentral:lncRNA from 1 species
UUUGCUAGCAAAACAACACUAGGGGGGACGUUUAGCUCCCUAAAGGGUCCAAAUAAAAAGGCGUAUUAAUGAACCACAAAACUCUGUAGAAUGAGUUUAGGUUAUUGCUGGUGAAGUUUAACCAGGUGCCAGGUUCUAAAGUAGCCACUCAGUAACAAAGGGUUCCAGCAUCCUUUUAGUCCUUAAUGAGAGCUGCUGUCUAAUGCAGAAGCUACCUCAGUCAAAGAAAGACCAAAAUGUUGCUAACGCCUGAAUAACUUGGGAUGGGUCAGUACGCUUGAUUCUGGUUGAAAGUGUCAGCUUGGAUCUGAAGAUGCACUGUGGGGAUAUACCCUGUGUGUUGGGGAGUUUGUCUUGCCUGUUCUGCUGGUUAAAUCCAGGGUGGGGUGAAAAUGAGGAAAGCCGAGAGACUGUUUUGCAGCAGAAACCUAUUGCUUGCACUGCAGACAGAAGCAAAUUAUGCAAAUUCCUCUCAUUGGCAGUAGCUGGAGUUCCUAGAGCAACCCAAGGCAUCAUUUCCUUUAAUGUUUUUUAUGUGAAUUUGAGAGUUGCUGGAGGAGAUGGACACCCAGCUCCAGUUGACUUUUUGAGGAAACUGCUAAUGAGAUCGGUUUUGCUCAUAGCUUUUUCAAGACCUGCAAGCAUCGGUAAAGCUGGGAAGAAAGCAGUUGGAUGGAUGCAGAGAGGAUGAUCUCAGAAUAUGCACUGAGAGCAGGAGCAGCAGAAGCCUGGAAGGGGCCUUGUAACUGCCCGAAGGAAGGCUGACACCAGAGAGCCACUUUCCCUUCGGCAGUCAGAGAACUUAUGUGUGAGCUGCCAGAUUUGAACUGUGAAAAUAUGGGACAUGGUGACAGAGGAAGACAAAUGGGAGUAGGCAAUGAGGGAGCAAACGUUCUGAUGUGCAUUUCAUACCCAGCUGCCCAAAGCUUCCCAUCGCCACACAGAGCUGCUGCCACUGCUAAACUUGCCACCCGUUUUCAAAGCCGCCUCUGAUGGCUGCUCACACCCAAAUGAGAGCUUCAGGGAGCGGCAGAGCUAUGGGAAAGCAGAGGAGGCAGGGAGCAGCUGUAGCUCUUUGCCCCUCAUGGGGCAGCAGCACUCGAGCAGCUGUAUCCCCGGGGGACUCCUGCCUGCCUGCAUUUUCUAAGGGACAUUGGAGCGUCAGCUGGGAGAUCCCAGACUGCACAGGCAGCCCUGCGAGGAGAAUCGAUACGGUUCCCUGGGAGAGCCUCAAUCAUUAUAGUUUGAAUCUCUGCUAGUCAAAGGCUGUUUGGAGAGAUGGCAUUCCCAGGAAGGGCCCUGUGCACGGCUGAGUUCUCUAGCAGGACGUAUCCCCUAGAUCUCAUGGGGGAGCCCUUCCCCCAGUGCCCAUGUAGUGUCUUGCUAUCUGGUAGCAUUUCCAGGCCCUAUACUGAGAGAACUUGC